AACCUUACUCACUGAAGAAAAUUAGAAAAUAUUAGGUAUACCAAGAAGAAACUAUGCUUAUCAAUUACCUACCAACAACAUAUAUUACCACUUAAUAUUUUACUCAGUUUCCUUCCAGUCUCUGUUGAAUGUUUGUUCUCAUGUUGAAUGAAGAGAUGCAAAGAAAAAUGCGGUUAAAAUAAGCUCUAUUGUGCUGAGUUGUUAUUAAAUAGUCCGCUCCUCUGGACUGGAUUAUUUACCCUUUGGUAUCUUGUGAAAUGUUUAAAUCCAGCCAGGGCCUCCUGUUUUCCUAAAUAAACUUUUACUGGUACACAGCCACACCCAUUUGUUUAUACAUGAUCCAUGGCUGCUUUCAUGCCACAGCCGCAGUUAAGUAGUUGCUACAGACGCCAUCUGGCCCACAGAACCUGAAAUAUUUACCAUUUUGUUCUUUACAGAAAAAGUUUGCUGAUCCAUGCUGGAGCUACACUAAGUGGUAUCAAGCAUUUCUCUCCCAGAAGUUCUAUGCAUAGAGUGUUCAUCCUUGGCUAAGUUACUUAACUAUUGAGUCCAAUUCCUUGAUCUGUAAAAUUGGGAUAAUAAUAAUUACUCCCUAAGGUUGGAGAUUAGAUAAAAUAGUUUCCCUAAAGCACUGGGCAUGGUUAUUGGUAUAUGGGAACUUUCACUAAAUUGCUCUCAUUCCUAGUAUAGAAUUUUAUUUAUAUCUUGCCCUGGCUUUGAGGGGAUUUGCUGACUGAGGGAUUUAUCAAACUCUGCUUGCAGGUGCAGACUUAGAUUCAGAAGUAAUAACAUCCCUGCUAGUCAUUACUGAUCAACAAAGCCAUACUACUGAGUUCUGUACUGCUGGGGUACUAACUAGGUUGUUGCUCUUGGCAGGUCUGAAAUGUUAGCACAGAGAGGCUCCUCUCCAUUCCCCAGACCCCAGGCCCCCAGCCCCCACAUGCCAUCUCAGGCACCUUUGGUGUUCCUUCACAAACUCCACCAGCUCCUCUUCUGUGUAAGGUUUGUUGGGGAUGGCAAUGGGCUCAUCCAUAAAUGGCUCAUAGAAGUCAACCUCAUUCAUCUUCAAAGAUAAUUUCUUUGCAACCUGUAACCAUUAGAAAUAAGACAAAGUUUAUUUGAAUACUAGUCUAGAAUAGCAGUGUGUUGUCCAUCUAAGAUAAGUGUGUAUGUUUUCCGGCAAAGACAUAAAAACAGAUGUACAGUUUUAACUUCAAUGUUGAAGUGACAGGAACUUAUCACCCAAGGCCUGGCUAGACUAAUCUUCUUUUGUGAUCAAAGAAGGAAAGAUAGGAAGGAAAAAGACUUAUCUAGCAAAUGAGGGUCGGGCAGGGGCAGGGAGCAGUUGAGAUGCGAAGUGGGAAAUUUAAUUCUACAAUCACCAUCACUCUACUGC
rnacentral:lncRNA from 1 species